AACAUAAGUCUCAAGAUUAUUUUUAAUAUAAUAAAGACUCAUUUUUCAUAACUGGAGAGAAAUCAAUGGCUCGUAUUGCCGGCGUCAACAUCCCGGAU
rfam:Psychrobacter sp. PRwf-1, complete genome.